UGGCAUGAGAUCAGCUCAAACCUUGUUUUCCCACAAACAUGUAGUAGAAUCAGUAAUUAAUUAUCUCACUGAAGCAAGAACAAGGUGAGGGACAUGUUCUUAGAUUCAGCAGAUAACCAAUGACCAGAAUCCACAAUGAGCUGAAAUCUGCCUAGAUUUCUUUUCAUAUAGUAUUAGGAGAGUCUAACUCUAAUUUUAAAUGAGUCAUGAAACAAGUCACUUAAACACUUUUUUUUAAAAACUCAAACACAAAAGUUAUUACACAUCAUUUAAUAUGAUAUGAAACCUUGACCAAACUGGGGCAGGCUAGGGCCAUGUUUUUCAGUAAAGUCUAGCUUCGGAAGGACUAUAUGUAGCCACCACUAUCCUGGGCAGCGAUGGUGCUGUGAUAGCCCUUCCCUACAAAAUUAAUAUUCCCUUAAUAUUUGCUCUUGUCAAAAGCAAAGACCAAGCAACUGUCUCCAGAGGUCUAUAUCUAGCAGCCUACUUCAGAUGGUGGGGCCUUGACUUUUACAUUUCAGUAGCUUGCUAAAGAAGCAGCAACCGACAAGUGCUCAAACACGAGCCUGCAAG
ensembl:lincRNA Gm42565 predicted gene 42565